UACGUAGGGUGCGAGCGUUGUCCGGAAUUACUGGGCGUAAAGAGCUCGUAGGUGGUUUGUCGCGUUGUCCGUGAAAACUCACAGCUUAACUGUGGGCGUGCGGGCGAUACGGGCAGACUGGAGUACUGCAGGGGAGACUGGAAUUCCUGGUGUAGCGGUGGAAUGCGCAGAUAUCAGGAGGAACACCGGUGGCGAAGGCGGGUCUCUGGGCAGUAACUGACGCUGAGGAGCGAAAGCGUGGGCAGCAAACAGG
rnacentral:rRNA from 1 species